AUGCUACGUUUGAAUUCCAUCUGUUCGAUAGAUAUAAAAGAAUUGGCAGCCUUACGCGCCGGUCGGCAGCCCAAUUUUGGACGGGUCGCACCAGCGGCGUAUGUACUUUUGGUUCCCAGCCGCACUAUCUUCUUCCUCCUCCUCUCCUGCGCCUUCUUCUCUGAGAAAAUAGCCCCCAUCGUGCCGCCAUGGAUGCCCGACUUAGAAGCACCACCCUGCAUGUCUCGUCUAUUGCUGCCCUUGCCACCAGUCGCCGUCGUCGCCUACUGUAUUUCUCACCGGCUUCACGCAUACAGCAGCAUGUCCCCAUGGUUGCAGCUCCUCCUGACAAUGGUCGCCGCUCCCAUGGCGGCGGCUACGGCUCCGGCGGUCACGACCGGCAGUCGCUGUACUAUCCCUCUGGUUGCCGGUUCCAGCAAAAAAGUCAGCCGAUUGUAG
rnacentral:rRNA from 1 species